UGGGGAAUUUUGCACAAUGGGGGAAACCCUGAUGCAGCGACGCCGCGUGAUUUAGAAGGCCUUCGGGUUGUAAAAAUCUUUUCUAUGGGAAGAAAAUGACAGUACCAUAGGAAUAAGGACCGGCUAAUUACGUGCCAGCAGCCGCGGUAAUACGUAAGGUCCGAGCGUUGUCCGGAAUCAUUGGGCGUAAAGAGUACGUAGGCGGGUAAGCAAGUUAGAAGUGAAAUCCUAUAGCUCAACUAUAGUAAGCUUUUAAAACUGCUCAUCUUGAGGUAUGGAAGGGAAAGUGGAAUUCCUAGUGUAGCGGUGAAAUGCGCAGAUAUUAGGAGGAAUACCGGUGGCGAAGGCGACUUUCUGGCCAUAACCUGACGCUGAGGUACGAAAGCGUGGGUAGCAAACAGG
rnacentral:rRNA from 1 species